UACGUAGGGUGCGAGCGUUGUCCGGAAUUAUUGGGCGUAAAGAGCUCGUAGGCGGUGUGUCACGUCGGCCGUGAAAACCUGCAGCUUAACUGUGGGCGUGCGGUCGAUACGGGCAGACUGGAGUACUGCAGGGGAGACUGGAAUUCCUGGUGUAGCGGUGGAAUGCGCAGAUAUCAGGAGGAACACCGGUGGCGAAGGCGGGUCUCUGGGCAGUAACUGACGCUGAGGAGCGAAAGCGUGGGGAGCGAACAGG
rnacentral:rRNA from 1 species